rnacentral:rRNA from 1 species
UGCCAGCAGCCGCGGUAAUACGCAGGGUGCGAGCGUUAAUCGGAAUUACUGGGCGUAAAGUGUGCACAGGCGGCAUCGCAAGUCGAGUGUGAAAGCCCCGGGCUUAACUUGGGAAUUGCGCUCGAAACUACGAUGCUGGAGUGUGGCAGAGGAAGGUGGAAUUCCACGUGUAGCGGUGAAAUGCGUAGAGAUGUGGAGGAACACCAAUGGCGAAGGCAGCCUUCUGGGCCAACACUGACGCUCAUGCACGAAAGCGUGGGGAGCAAACAGGAUUAGAUA